rnacentral:miRNA from 1 species
GCGGAGGUGGCUUCGACUUUUCUACCGCAUCUUGUGAGGUUGGCAGCAGGAGCGGUGGAAAUGUCGAAGUCACUUGGCGCCU